CAAAUGAUUUAUUCCAAAUGAACCGGUAAGCAUCAUAUCAGUCAAUUUGAAUCCCAAAACUUUGUUGCAUUGCAAUUUAAAGAGGGGGGAAAAAGAGAGAAGGGAAAAAAAUUGCACUCGGUUAAGCAUGACGGAACUAUAAUGCAAUUAAAGAAAAUCCAAACAACAUAUCCAAUGCAUAAAAGUGAAAAGUUUCUGCUGUUAAAUUUACCUGUUUGAGAGCAUUGGGAAGAG
rnacentral:misc_RNA from 1 species